AGAUUCUUCAAAAAGGAAAGUCAAGUAAAACAGAAUCUGAUUCCAAGCGCCCCAAGACUUUAGAUUAACAUUU